UGGAACCUGUGCGGCCGCCUGCGCGCACCCACCCGGAUUCACUAGGGCCGUAACCACUUCCGUUCCUGCGACAGGCCUGGAGGACGUAAUCCCAGCUGGCGUGUGGGAACGGGCAACGCCAUUUUGUACGGAAGCUACUGGGGCAGGUGAUGCCUACCCAGUCUCUCUCCUCUGUUGAACAAAGGAUCUGUUAAAAUUGGAAGGGCUUAACGUCUUCUUCAGAAAAGUGACGCAUUUGUUACUGGGAUGGUAAGGUUCAGCAAAGUCUAUGUCAUUCUCUAAUCCUUUUGAUCCAGCGGAUUCUUUGGAGGAAUUUGAAUACAUAUUGGAUUUUGCAUCCAGGUUUGCAAGAGGAAAAUACAAAGGUGACUUCUGGGCCUGCUGGAGGUGGAGGGUAGAGGAUGGACAGCUGACAUCUAGUCACAGAGGAAAGAACACAGAAAGAGAUCUCCAGUUAAAGCUGAUAGAUUGAACCACAGACAACCCACCUCCUUCUAAAAUCCCUCUAGAACAAUGGUUUAAAAAAAGUGCUUUAACAUAAAACUUCAAAAUCAAAAAGAUAAGGAAAAUGAUGAAAACCACUCAGAUAAGAAGAGAGGAUAUUUAUGCAGAGGCUGCUGUCGUUGGGAGUCCGCCACCAUACCACUAUACUUUGGUGAGACUUGAAGGCAGGCAGGGAGUGGAAACACUUUAUGCUGUAGUGAAAAAAGGGGAAGGCUUCGGUAUGCUCUGACUGGAGAUCAUUGUCAUGGGGAAACUGCAGGUGGGCUAACUAGAGGCUGGGCUUCUUGUGUAAUGGUUUGGCUUUCUCUGGUUGGUCCUGUGUUGAAAAUAGGGGCAAAAUAUAGGGAAGCUGACUCAUUGACCAAGCCCUGCCCAGGCUGGCCAAUUGCAGAGGUUGUGGGUCAGAGUUCUAUUGUCAUAUAUGGUCUGGCUACUGUCUGUUUAUAUAAUCCGUCUCUCAGAGAACAGUAGAGGAGAUCAAAUUAUUAACAUUUUGGAAGCUGGAAAGCAGGAGGAUAGUGUGAGCUGAAUUAGCAGACUUGCCAUCUAUCAAAGGGGAUAGCCAAAAGCAAGCCAGAUUUGCCCCAGAGAACCACCAAAGGUUCAAGAAUUGGCAGCACCAGGUACCCCCAGAAGCAGGGAUAAAGUGGGGGCUGAAAUUGGACAGUUGGUUCAAAGUCUAUUUCAGAAGCAUUAGACCACUGGAUUUCUUCCCCAGCUCCCAAAUGACUGCCUGGUGCAAAAGACUCAGGAUUGAUUCCCUGGAGAGGGUAGGUAGUUCUUUGUCUAGUUAAGGAUGGGAUGCCAUAACAAACAUGCCAAUUCAGUGAAAGUACCUACUUUCAAGACUCCUGCUUAACUCCCCUAAAUCAGCAGCCAAUGUUAGAAGCCAAGUGUUAAAGUUUUUCAGAUAAUUUUGCUAUAAGCCUAUGGAGAAAUUUCAUUACCAUCUCAUAGCAAGGCCUAUAGUAUAAGAGCAGGCCUAUAGUAGCAUAUGGGGGAAAGUCUAAAAGACUUUGAAAUGGACCAAAAGAUUAUUGAGAAAUGGAAAACUGCAUUGUUUUAAGUAUCCCUUUCCAACUUAUCAGAUUCUGUGGGGUUUAUACCUUUCAUUGUCUUUGAGGUAUUUAACAAUUCUAAAGAGAUAGACUCUAACUUGUAGAAAACUAAGAGUAACAUAAAUAAUUAUCGUCUUUAGAUAUACAAAUAAAUUCUGUUCUGAGAAGUUUCUGUUGACUUCCCUUUCUCACUGUUCUAUUCAGAACAUUGAUUUCAGGUGGGGUGUAGAGGCUCAUGCCUAUAAUCCCAGCACUUUGGGAGGCCAAAGCAGGAGGAUUGCUUGAGCCCAGCCUGAGCAACAUAGCAAGAUCCCAUCACUACAGAAAAAACUAAUUAACGGGGCAUGGUGAUGUGCACCUGUAGUCCCAGCUACUAGGGAGGCUGAGGUGGGAGGAUUGCUUGAGCCUAGGAGUUUGAGGUUACAGUGAUGUAUGAUGGCACCACUGCACUGCAGCCAGGGCAACAGAGCAAGACCCUGUCAGAGAGGUGGGGGGUGCAGGAGAGACAGAGAGAGAGAGAGAAAAGAGAGGAGAGAGAGAGGCUGGGUGUGGUGGCACACACCUGUAAUCCCAGCACUUUGGGAGGCUGAGGGGGUGGAUCACCUGAGGUCAGGAGUUCAAGACCAACCUGGCCAAGAUGGUGAAACCCCUGUCUCUACUAAAAAUGCAAAAAUUAGCCAGACCUAGUGGCUCACACCUGUAAUCCCAGACACUUGGGAGGCUGAGGCAGGAUAAUUGCUUGAACUUGGGAGGUGGAGGUUGCAGUGAGCCGAGGUUGCACGACUGCACUCCAGCCUGGGCGACAGAGCAAGACUGCCUCAAAAAAAAAAAAAAAAAAAAAAAGGCCGGGCAUGGUGGCUCAUGCCUGUAAUCGCAGCACUUUGGGAGGCCGAGG
rnacentral:lncRNA from 10 species